ACCCAAAUCCCUUCUGCUGCAACUUGAGCUUGUUUUCUCCUCUUCCGCCCAGGGGGAAGACAGCGAGGAGGUAGUCGCAAUCACAUAGGAGAGCACUUUAAUGGUGAUGAUUUAGCAUCAGAAUUAGGAGGAUGCAGAAAGGGAGAGGCUGGGAGGAAAGGGGCCCAGAUAAGGACUGGACAUCCAGGAUUUUACACCUGCUGGAUCCUGCAUCUUAGGGUGACGGCCCCGGUCUGAACCUCAGCUUCCCCUCUGCAACAGAGGGAGAGCCAAUCACAUUCGCUCCUCCUGAGGAAGUUUAUAUCCUAGAAAUAAACAACAAAUGGCUGAGUUCCUGUCCUGGUUGUCAUUAUAACCACAUGCUUCAUGUGCAAAGGAGAUUUCUAGCAAAUUAAAAAGGUCCAAGGAAUUCCUGUUACCACCAGGUUUGGAACGCCUGCAAUAAGCAGUGUGACGAUGGUGCUACUGGGGUUGGGUGUUAUCGGAUCUCGGGGAAGAAGCUGCACAAGGAAGAAGAGCCGAGAGGUUCCAGG